ACACACAGAUACAUACUGACACACACAUACACUGACACACAAAUAUAUCCUGGCAGACAUACUGACACACACGUACACACACACACAGAGACAUACCUACAUACACACACACAGACAUACUGGCAUACUGACACACACACACACACACACUGACAUACACACACAGACAUACUGGCAUACACACAGACAUACUGACACACACACACACACAGACAUACUGGCAUACACACAGACAUACUGGCAUACACACAGACAUACACACACAGACAUACUGGCAUACACACAGACAUACUGACACACAUACUGACA